rnacentral:rRNA from 1 species
AGUGAACGCUGGCGGUAGGCCUAACACAUGCAAGUCGAACGGCAGCACAGUAAGAGCUUGCUCUUACGGGUGGCGAGUGGCGGACGGGUGAGGAAUACAUCGGAAUCUACUUUUUCGUGGGGGAUAACGUAGGGAAACUUACGCUAAUACCGCAUACGACCUACGGGUGAAAGCAGUGGAUCUUCGGACCUUGCGCGAUUGGAUGAGCCGAUGUCGGAUUAGCUAGUUGGCGGGGUAAAGGCCCACCAAGGCGACGAUCGGUAGCUGGUCUGAGAGGAUGAUCAGCCACACUGGAACUGAGACACGGUCCAGACGCCUACGAGAGGCAGCAGUGGGGAAUAGUGGACAAUGGGCGCAAGCCUGAUCCAGCCAUACCGCGUGGGUGAAGAAGGCCUUCGGGUUGGAAAGCCCUUUUGUUGGGAAAGAAAAGCAGCAGGUUAAUACCCAGCUGUUCUGACGGUACCCAAAGAAUAAGCACCGGCUAACUUCGUG